AUUGAACGCUGGCGGCAUGCCUUACACAUGCAAGUCGAACGGUAACAGGUCUUCGGAUGCUGACGAGUGGCGAACGGGUGAGUAAUACAUCGGAACGUGCCCGAUCGUGGGGGAUAACGAGGCGAAAGCUUUGCUAAUACCGCAUACGAUCUACGGAUGAAAGCGGGGGAUCUUCGGACCUCGCGCGGACGGAGCGGCCGAUGGCAGAUUAGGUAGUUGGUGGGAUAAAAGCUUACUAAGCCGACGAUCUGUAGCUGGUCUGAGAGGAUGAUCAGCCACACUGGGACUGAGACACGGCCCAGACUCCUACGGGAGGCAGCAGUGGGGAAUUUUGGACAAUGGGCGAAAGCCUGAUCCAGCCAUGCCGCGUGCAGGAUGAAGGCCUUCGGGUUGUAAACUGCUUUUGUACGGAACGAAAAGCCUCUUUCUAAUAAAGAGGGGUCAUGACGGUACCGUAAGAAUAAGCACCGGCUAACUACGUG
rnacentral:rRNA from 1 species